rnacentral:rRNA from 1 species
GGCCUAACACAUGCAAGUCGAGCGGCAGCACGGGUACUUGUACCUGGUGGCGAGCGGCGGACGGGUGAGUAAUGCCUAGGAAUCUGCCUGGUAGUGGGGGAUAACGUUCGGAAACGAACGCUAAUACCGCAUACGUCCUACGGGAGAAAGCAGGGGACCUUCGGGCCUUGCGCUAUCAGAUGAGCCUAGGUCGGAUUAGCUAGUUGGUGAGGUAAUGGCUCACCAAGGCGACGAUCCGUAACUGGUCUGAGAGGAUGAUCAGUCACACUGGAACUGAGACACGGUCCAG